rnacentral:rRNA from 1 species
UACGUAGGGUGCAAGCGUUGUCCGGAAUUAUUGGGCGUAAAGAGCUCGUAGGCGGUCUGUCGCGUCGGAUGUGAAAACCCAGGGCUCAACCCUGGGCCUGCAUUCGAUACGGGCAGACUAGAGUUCGGUAGGGGAGACUGGAAUUCCUGGUGUAGCGGUGAAAUGCGCAGAUAUCAGGAGGAACACCGGUGGCGAAGGCGGGUCUCUGGGCCGGUACUGACACUGAGGAGCGAAAGCGUGGGGAUCAAACAGG